rnacentral:rRNA from 1 species
AGCAGCCGCGGUAAUUCCAGCUCCAAUAGCGUAUAUUAAAGUUGUUGCAGUUAAAAAGCUCGUAGUUGAAUUUCGGGAUUGACACAUCGGUCGUGCCUUAAGGGGUAUGAACUGGUGUAGCCAGUUUCUCACCUUCUGGAGAACCGCGAUGUCCUUAAUUGGGUGCCGCGAGGAACCAGGACCUUUACUUUGAAAAAUUAGAGUGUUUAAAGCAGGCACUUUGCUUGAAUACAUUAGCAUGGAAUAAUAAAAUAGGACGGAUGGUUCUACUUUGUUGGUUUCUAGGAUCACCGUAAUAAUUAAUAGGGAUAGUUGGGGGCAUUAGUAUUCAAUUGUCAGAGGUGAAAUUCUUGGAUUUAUUGAAGACUAACUACUGCGAAAGCAUUUGCCAAGGAUGUUUUCAUUAAUCAAGAACGAAAGUUAGGGGAUCGAAGACGAUCAGAUACCGUCGUAGUUUUAACCAUAAACUAUGCUGACUAGGAAUCAGACGAUGUUAAUUAUUAAUGACUCG